UACGUAGGGUGCAAGCGUUGUCCGGAAUUACUGGGCGUAAAGCGCACGUAGGCGGUCAGGCAAGUCGGGUGUGAAAGCCCUGGGCUCAACCUGGGAAUUGCAUUCGAAACUAUCUGACUCGAGUAUGGGAGAGGGAAGCGGAAUUUCCGGUGUAGCGGUGAAAUGCGUAGAUAUCGGAAGGAACACCAGUGGCGAAGGCGGCUUCCUGGACUAAUACUGACGCUGAGGUGCGAAAGCGUGGGGAGCAAACAGG
rnacentral:rRNA from 1 species